UUACAGUUUUAUGAUUCUUGUUGAAAAUAUUGCUGGUUCUCUAAUGUUUGCUCUUCCAGAUUAAGGAAAAUUUCUCUUAAGAUAUCUAUGAUAUACAGAAAUGUCAUAUUAAUUUAUACCCUGAAGCAUUUAUCUUUUCUCUCUCUGCAUAACUCCCCUGAAAUUCAAAACCUCUCAGUGAGUAUUCUUUCCCUGAUGGCAAUUACAAUUGUUUUGCAUAAGUUCAAUAAGAAUCUGUUCAUCUUGUAACAGGUCACCAUCGGAAAUACUGGUUAUUUUACCAAGGCUUUGACUGGAAUGUCAUAUUUGAGAGUGACAUUCAUAGACUCAGAUGUGACCAGACAGCUUUGAGGAACUAAGGUUGGCUUUAUGAAACACGGAGCCAUAAAGCCCCUUGGAAAUGUUGGCCUGAUACCUUGCUUACAGAGUUCCCAGCAGCCUCACCAGGCUUCACAUCCAGGGCAAACCCCAGUGCUGGUCUUGAACUCACAACCCAGAGGUCAACACCUGAGAUGAGAUAAAGAGUUGGACACUUGGACACUUAACCCAUGCAGCCACCCAGGCCCACCUAAAGCAUAAUUUUAAGUGAUCAAUUAUAAAAACUUGGAAGGUUGGAAUUAAGGUUCUUUCAUGGGAAAGAACCAUAUCUUUUCAGAUUUAACAUCUGAAUUUACCACACCACCCUAUUCAGAUGCUUGGUCUUUAUUUCUAUUUUGGCGAAACCUAAACCUUAACCAAGGGGUGGUGUAGAAUUUGGUCAUAGUGCCUGGUUAACUGAAUGAAUGGGUGGAUGGAUACAGGAUUAUUUCAAACAUGCCUUGGAAAGUCUUGGAUUUUUACGUCCCAGGGCAGAGCUGUUCAUGCAGCUGUCUAAAGCCGUAGUGUUGGGUGGCUGAGAGGAUGCAGCUUCUCAAGACCCAGGAACCGAUGGCUGCAAAAUGGGAAGCAUUUCAAGUGUGGAAGACCGGCAUACACUUCAUGGCUGCCAUAGAAACGUGACUCUGUUGUGACAACCAUGAUGACUUUUCAAUACAGAGACGGAUUGGGAAGAAGAGGGGCCUUCAAGUGUUUGGAGCUUAGCUGAAGGUGUGGGUCCCCUCAGUGGAGCUGAUCUGUCCCAGAGUCUGGGGAGACAAAGGAAUCCAGGUCCAAGUCUCCUCUUUCCUCCUUUGGAGCUCGGCACCCAGAGUGUCUCAUGGGUAAACCUGUUGGGGUCUGGUCUGGGUCCAGUGAGUGUGGGUCCUGCUCCAGGGGUGUCCUGGAGCUACUGUCCUGUGAAGGCAGGGGUGCGGGAGGGAAGGCAGAUAAUGAAUAUGCACCUGGCUUCCCUUCUGCAGAAUGGGGGUGUGAAUGCUUCACCCACAGGGUCGCCGAGAACACUCGGUGAUACACAUGACCAAGUCCCUGGCCCUGUGAUUACUGCAGGAUCAUGAAUGCCUGUAUGAUUUCAGGCCACUUGUUACUCCUUUUCUUCUUUGUUGUUAGGGGAUAGAAGAAAAAGGCCCGGUGAGAAGUUCAUUGUAACAUGUAGUUGUUAUGAUCACAGCCCACUUGUUGUGAAGUAGGGAAGCUGAAGGGGCUCCAUUUUACAAGUGGUUUUUCUACCAGGCCCCAUUUAGCCUGCCAGGCUCCACAUUUGGCCUCUGAAUAAGACAAAGAGCUAUGUUCUCACUUCAACGGGGAAGCAAGAAAGUUAAUCAUUCUCUGAGAUUUGUCGAAGGCCCCAGACACCUGAUAACACCUAAGAAGAGCCAGAUCCAAAACAUGUUCCAGGACACUGGCUUCAAACAAACCUCAGCUGACGAUGGCAUCAAUACCCCUACCUUUGGUAAUUUAUGAAAUAACACCUAUUGUUCACCUGACGCUUGCCUUUGAUUGGACACUACCAUGGAUUCCCCUGGAACGUGUACCCUAAACCCUUUUUAAAUACAAACUCCUAGCCCAAAGCAAUGACAAGGCUCAUUCUCCUUUCCUUUCUGAGUCUCCCCCAGGCACUCUGCUAUUUUCUGUUCUUUCAUGCUAUUUGAUAAACUCUGUUAGCACUUUCUCCAGCUAACGUUUGAUUUCUACCACUUUUGAGGCCAAGGACCCUCUUGGCUGGUCCUGUGGUACCGUUCCCUGGGUUCUUGGACUCAGCUUGACUGCAUCAGUAUCAAUGUCAGUGUCACUAGACUAGUGCCUAGCAUGCUGCUGGGCACAUAGUUACUCUUGCAAAUCAUAGCGAUAGCUGGAUCUGUCUCUCCCUCUUCAGAACUUCAUUCCAUUGGCCACGCUCUUAUCAGGUGCCGGAAGGAGACAGGUUAUGAGGAUCUGAGUCCUGGUGGCUGCUGAAACCUCUACCCCAUAUUCAAGGACAACAGUCCUCAGGAGACACUAACAUUUCACAUUCCUGGUGGGAUAUGAUGCCUGGCACAAGUGAGUUCAUAGACCUGAACAAAAGCAUGUUGUGGAAUAGCUCCUGUAAGGUUCAAAAACUAACCUAAAAGCAGAGAAACUACUUAAACCACGUCAUGGGAGGAGAAGUUUAGCAGGUGGAAUUUCAAUCCACCAACAGGUGUGUUAGUAAAUCUUGAGGCCCAUCUUAGAGAAUUCCUCAUUUGUCUGAAAGGGACAAAUUGUGCACCUGAAAAUGACUUGGUCAUUAACGUGCACUUGCAAUAAAUAUAUUUUUUCUGAUUGCAUAAAUAAUAA